UGAAGCCAGUAGCAGCAAGGAAAAUAAGCUGAGGACAGAGAAAUAAGACGGAGAUGGGAUAUCCAUAACUGAGUUGUGCUUUUUAUGAACGAGGGGAGGGGCCUAACAACUCGCCUGAAAGGGUGAGUUAUUAUCGAACCAAGGGAGAAUUUCCAUCUUAAAAGCCACUACGAGAAAGAAAGAUUAUAAAA